CGUCUCUCCCAACAUGCACAAUUAUUGCUAAUCUCCAUUGCUCCCUCCACCCCCUACUCCUAGCUACCAUGAAUCUACUUUUUGUCUUCCUAGCUUUGCCUUUUAUGGAUAUUGCAUAUAAAUAGAAUCACCUAACAUGCAGCGUCUUGUGUCUGGCUUCUUUCUCUGAGCAUAUUUUUGAAGUUCAUUCAUGUCACAGCCCAUAUCUGUAGUUUGUUCUUUUUUCCUAAUUGCUGAAUCAUAUUCCACUUAUGGUUGAUAGGUAAAUUGACUCUAAUGCAUAUAGUUUCAAUAAAUGGUACACACAAGAAUAAAAUCAACCUGCUGAAAUUUUAGUGGCACCAUAAAAAUGUAUUUCCUAGAUAAUCCUUCUAAUCAAAAUUGAACCUUUAUUUUAUAAUACUCUCUCUAAUCCAUAUGACUUAUAUUCUAUCCAGUAAUAAUAGUCCUUUUAUAAUAUAUCCAGUAAUAAAAAAGGUAUAACUUAUAUCAUUUUAAAAAAGAAAUUCAUUUGCUCACGCUAAGUGUUGUGCUAGGUUUUGGUGAAAUGGGCAUGCAUAGGACAUGAUCAUUGCCCUAAACCAAUUCAUAUUUUUAGAGGGGGGAAUAGGCCUAGACACAAGGAGGAGAAAUGAAAAGGGGGAGAAAUGAAAUGAUGUGGAAUGCCAAAGUGACCAAAUUUAAAGUUUUAAAUGGGAACACUACAUAUUUACCAGAUCCAGUGCCAGGUCUGGGUUGAAAUGCUGUCAGAAAAAUAAAACUGUAUAGAGAGUAACAAAAAAUACUCCACAAGGUUCAACACAACCAAGUAUAGAAGGAUAGGACUGAUAUGACCUGGCUCAUUCAAGUACCUAAUAAAAAGAGUCCCAGCCAUUUUGAGCCCAGUACAGACCCACACUGAGUAUAAUCACAGGCUCUGCUCUGUGAACCAAAGCAGGAAGAUGUUCUGUCCAACACUCUGAUUUUUAGGACAUUUCUAGAGCAAUGUGCUCAAGGCUGGCCUGUCAUUUUUAGAAGGACAUUGGCAAAAGAGGCUAUCUGGAAUGACUGUCAUGAUCUAUCUAGCCUUAGGGAAAAGAACAGGUGUUGGGAAAUGUGGGGGUGAGGUCUGAUGUCUGCCUCUGAGAGCUCGCAGAUUUCUUGAUGGUCCACCUAGAACAGGAGUGAGCUCAUGUCAUUGGGUACAACCCUGAUACUGGAAGGCUGCUUAUAAGGAUGUUGCAUGACCUGUUUUUGCAUUGAGAGGGAGAUGAUUUCUAAAUUCCCUUUCCUGUCCAAACCUCUUAUCAUGAAAAAAUAUUAACAGUUAACCAAUCCGUUAGUUAUUCAUUAUUUAUGCAAUAGCUGCAAUGUGUAACCAUCUCUAUUUCAAUUCCCAGUUCCUAUUUUUACUCAUCUCUGGGGCCUUAAUACUGUUAUGACCUCUCUCAGCCUUUGGUCAGGAUCCUUUUCCCUUUAUAGUAGCUCCUUUUUGACUUGCUGUGUGUGUGCGUUUGUGUGGCUUCUUUCCUUUUUCUUUCCUGUAUUGUGAGUUAACAUCCCGAAUAAUUUAAGUUACAUGUUCCUUGAUACAGAAAAGCAUCAUGGAGUCAGAUUCCUUUUCUGCUUUUACCUACACAUUUGUGACCAUGAAAGCCCUCUUUUUUUUUUUUUUACCUCUGUGUCUUUUACAUAGGGCAUUUUUUACAUCUGAGAAUCAUUUCACCCCAUAUCUGCUUGCCAGGUGAGUCUUCUUAAAACACAGUUCUGACUGUUUGAUUUUCUUUCCCAGAAAUCUCUAAUACUUUUCAAUUGCUUACGGGAACAAGCUCAAACUCCUUAUCCUCAGAUUUACAGAAUCACCUAAUCGUGUCUCAAUUUCCUUUUCCUGCCUUAUCUCAUUCCAUUCUCUUAAAAAGUCUGACUCAAGUUAAGUUGAUUUUCCUGGUGUUUCUCAAGCACAUUUCAUUUCUUUUUUUUUAAGUCAAAAACUUUCAACAUGUUUUCUGCAUUCAUUUUUGGUGCUUCCUCCAUUGUGUCCAUCAUCCCUGAAGGAUGUUGAAAUCCUAAUAAUCUUGCCCAGUGCAGCUCAAGAAGCCCUUCCUUUUAUAAAGCCCCUUCUGGCCCCCUGCCUGAAGCACUGGUUCUCAAAGCAGGUAUGGUCCAUUCCACCCUGGGAUGUAUUCUAUUUGUUGAUCGGCAAGAUUACUCUUUAUAAAUACAAUUUAUGUUUGUAUGAUUUCAUGCUAGUUCUCCACAAUGAGAGAUCAAGAAUGCAUCUUCUCUGUCUCUACCCCUCAGUAUAUAAAAUGCCUCGUGUUUAACAGAACUCAACAAAUAUAUGUAUUCUCCAGAUGGCCGAGUUCUAGACCUGAAAGGAGAUUGGAGAUCUGGAGAGCUGGUUGAUUGAUUAAUAGAAGCUGAACCAAAAGACUACUGAGAACUUUGUGUCUAGCUAUGUACUCGAAAUAACAGAUUUUGACUAAGUGGUUUUUAUUAGUACUUAUUAUUGAAGUUGAUUUAUAAAGAAAGAUGCAUAGCAUGGAUGAGCAAUUUGAUGCAAAAAUAAAUCUAAAGCGUGGCUAAAAUUAACCUGUGGAGAAAUCUUUCCACAGUUUAAUGGUCUUGUCAAAAUUUAAAGGCUCAGCGUCUUCUUGAGACUAAUGCUCCUUAAUGGGUAUUCAGUGAAACCCCAGACUGGCGAUUCAUCACGGUUUAUAUUUACAACAUGUAGCACUACUGCAUUCCAGCAGGUGGCGCUGCUUCUCGAAGAAAUUGUUCUUGCUCUGCUCUGCAGCCACCCUGACUCUCCUUCCCAUUGCUUCUACAAAGGCCAGACGCUGAAGAGCAAUCUGAGUAUCUUACAUUAGUGGAAAUAAGAGGUGCUUAUAAUUAUUAUAUAUAUUCCUUGACAGACAAGGUUUUUAUAGAGUCAGGUUUUUAUUUUUUCUUUCUUUAUGCCUUUCAUUUUCACAUUUCUGACUUUAGAAGACCAGGUUCAUCUCUGUCAUCCCUGAGCCCUUCACACAUUGAGAGGCUUUUUCAGAUCUUACAGUCAGCUGGGACCGAGAGAACCUGAGUAGGAAUCGAGGCCCACCCUUCCUUCCUUCAGGAAAUUCCCAUGCCUUUGAAGCUAUUCCAUGAAAAUGAAUUCAGUGAUUUAAUCAGCUUGGGAAGCUCUCUUCAUGGAGAAACCUUUAGUUUCCUCUCUUUAUGGAGCAUCAUUGAUAUCUGAAGGGUCCUCAGAAUUUCUGCAGUAAAGAACCCCUUGGAGGACUUCAGGCUAAACCAAAAAAUGUCUACUGAUCUGGCAAGGAGAAAUCUAAAAUCAAGGUGUCAUGAAGGCCAUGCUCUCUCUGAAGAGUCUAGGGGAGAAUCACUCUUUGCAUCCGUCCAGCUUCUGGGGGUUGCCUGCAAUCCUUGGCUCUCAGAUGGACUCCAUCAGUCUCUGCCUUUGUUGUCACGUGGCUUUCUUCCCUGUCUGCCUCUUCACAGGAUCAUCUUCUUGCUUUGUGUGUCAUUGCGUCCAAACUGUCCUCUUUUUACAAAGACUCCAGUCAUUAGAUUAAGGACCACUCUAAUCUAGGAUGACUUCACCUUAAUUUGAUUAUAUCCACAAAGACCCGAUUUCCAGGUAAAGUCAGAUUCACAGGUUCCAGAAGUUAGGACUUGAACAUAUCUUUCUGGGGGACAAGCUUCAACACAUAAAUAGCUAGUCAAGGCUGAAUGUGUAGGAUGGCUCACUCACAUGGCUGGCGGUAUCAGCUGAAUUGUUGACCCGAGUGCCUCAUGUGGUGGCCUGGGAGUAGCUGCACUUUCCACAUGUGGUUGACUACAUCCCUGCCCAGCACACACCCUGAGCACUAGAAGGAAGCUUCCUGGCCUUUUCUGGCCUUGCCUCAGAAAUCAUAUAGUAGGUUUCUGCCCAGCGUUGUUGGUUGGAGCCGUCAUGAGCCUGCUCAGAGUGACGGCAAGGCAGGUGGCCACGCCUCCCAGCAGACGCCUCCUGCAGGGGCCACGCCAGGCAAAAACCAAUAGUGCUGGUGCGGGAGGGGAAGUAUAAUGCGAGGCUGCUGCAAACGCCAGGUCAAGGGCACUUGCAAUUUGUGUGUUCCACAAUGUUUGUUCAAAGGCUAAUUAGUACAAAUCUUAAAGAGAAUACACAGAAAUGAGAAUGCAUGUAAUUUCCUGUAGAGAUAAAAUUAAACUCAGGAAAAAUAACUCCCUCUUCCUCUAUUCUUUUUUCUUUUUCUCCUUUCCCUCUCCCCGUCCCUUCCAUCUUUCCUUCCUUUCCUCCCUCCUUCCCACUUUGGAAUCCCUAAGCAUGUAGUAGAAGCAUUUCAUAAUACAGAAUCAAGUUCAGAUGCUUUAUAUGUGUCUAGUCAUAAUCCUUACUUACAAUACACAUAAACUAUCUUAAUUCCUGUAUUGAUAAAACGUUAUUCUCUAAUAUGUACUACAGCACCAAAUAAACAUGCAUAUUCUAGACUUAGGCAAAUCUAAUCCCAGGGUAGUUAUGUUGCCUUAGUUUAAAUAACAAAACUACAUGGUGAAAUCAAAGGAUAUGUAUCAAAUAAUAAAGGUAAUAAUCUGGUAUUCUGGAGUGAUUUUUUUAAUUUCCUUCUUUACACUUUUCUAGUUUCC